GAUGAACGCUGGCGGCGUGCUUAACACAUGCAAGUCGAACGAUGAAGCCCAGCUUGCUGGGUGGAUUAGUGGCGAACGGGUGAGUAACACGUGAGUAACCUGCCCUUAACUCUGGGAUAAGCCUGGGAAACUGGGUCUAAUACCGGAUAGGAGCGUCCACCGCAUGGUGGGUGUUGGAAAGAUUUAUCGGUUUUGGAUGGACUCGCGGCCUAUCAGCUUGUUGGUGAGGUAAUGGCUCACCAAGGCGACGACGGGUAGCCGGCCUGUGAGGGUGACCGGCCACACUGGGACUGAGACACGGCCCAGACUCCUACGGGAGGCAGCAGUGGGGAAUAUUGCACAAUGGGCGCAAGCCUGAUGCAGCGACGCCGCGUGAGGGAUGACGGCCUUCGGGUUGUAAACCUCUUUCAGUAGGGAAGAAGCGAAAGUGACGGUACCUGCAGAAGAAGCACCGGCUAACUACGUG
rnacentral:rRNA from 1 species